GACGAACGCUGGCGGCGUGCUUAACACAUGCAAGUCGAACGAAGUGGCGAACGGGUGAGUAAUACGUGGGUAACCUGCCCUCCUUUUUGGGAUAAGCCUUGGAAACGGGGUCUAAUACCGAAUAAAGGGGGAUGGGCUCGCGGCCUAUCAGCUUGUUGGGGGGGUGAUGGCCUACCAAGGCGGUGACGGGUAGCCGGCCUGCGAGGGUGACCGCCCACAUUGGGACUGUGUUGCGGCCCAGACUCUAGCGGGAGUCAGCCGUGGGGGGUAUUGCCGAAUAUGCGGACGACUGAUGCAGCGACGCGCCCUGGGGGCUGAUGACUCGCGGCUUGUAGCAAUCUUUCGCAAUCGACCGGGUAGGUCAGCCAGAACCGCAGAAUAACUGCGUGCCAGCCGCCGCGGUAAUUC
rnacentral:rRNA from 1 species